rnacentral:lncRNA from 1 species
AAGUAUACAUAGACACACCAAAUGUCACACACCCCUUCAUACCACCAAUGACAUGGCUAAAAUACUUUAAAAAAUUGAUCUUUGAUGACAUGGUAAAUAAUUCUUAAAACAAAUAAGAAAUAGAUCUAGAAAAUUAAAAAAGAAAAAAAAAAUCAGUGUCUCACCUCUCUCUCUCUCUCUCUCUCUCUCUCUCUCUCUACGAGAGUGAAUUCUGCUUUCUCCAUCCCUCUCUCCGCCAUUUCCUCCGAGGCCUCCAUCUCUCCCUCAACCACGACAGCUUAAUUAGCUCUCUCCCCAACAAAUACGAUCAAAAGCAACUGCGAUCUCCUUCUGUGAUUCAACAGUUGGCGUUUUGUCAAAGUUUCCGUCGCCGAAUCUCUCCGUUGAAGGUUAUGUUUUCUCGAAUCUUGUAUUUGAUGAAGGCUAAAAUUUAUUUUGAAAUCAUUUGGGUAUGAUGAAGAAAUUAAUCAUAUUAGGGUAUGAUACUGAUUUAGUGAUAAUUUUGGGUUAAACAAAGUUUGAUAGUAUUUAGAUGUUUAGUUCAUAAUUAAGUUAAAAUCUCUGUUAUUUGCUACUGUUUGAUUGUUGCAUUAUGGGUUGUUGUCAAUUAAGAUGUUGCGUUGUUGCUACUGUUUGAUUUGUUGGUAAUUGCAAAUGGGUCUGGAAUGAAAAUUUAUGUUGCUUAAGUUAAGUCAUUCUUUAGUUGGUUUGUGUCAAACAUGUCCUAUAUUGUUAGUAAAAAAUCUUAAGCUUUCCCCAAUUUUUUUAGUUUGAUUGCGGUUGUUCCUCUAAAUGUUAUCACAUAGAGUUAGUGUCAAAUUCUUAAUCAAAAGAAUUGUGGUCAAACUUGUGUUAAAAAAUGGUCAAAGUGUUGGAAAUUUGAAGGAAAAAAAUGUGGCUACGUCUAUAUUAAAAUAUGGUUAAGUGCAGAUAAAUUUUUGUCAGUAUGUCUAUGAUAGAAAUUGGACAUUUGUGUGUGUUUUAAUUGUUGUUGAUAGAAAUUGUUUUUGUAUAAAACAGAUAAGGUCAACAUCAUGAACGAAAACAAACGAAAAAGGGAUGGUGGUGUUGGAGUAAGUACAAUUUAAUUAAUGAGACGUUUAAUGUGUAUGUAACUGUUUAUGUUUUAUG